GCUCGAUCCCAAGACCACAGCCCAAGCCAAACCGAGAGUUGGGUGCCCAACCAAGGUUGCAAAAAGUGUUCAGCCUGUUUCAAAGAGAUCAUUCUAGGUGGAACACCAACAGGAUCCACACCUAGCAUGGAGCCCAAUGCGGG